rnacentral:ncRNA from 1 species
UGACCUCGGAUCAGGUAGGGAUACCCGCUGAACUUAAGCAUAUCAAUAAGCGGAGGAAAAGAAACCAACAGGGAUUGCUCUAGUAACGGCGAGUGAAGCAGCAAUAGCUCAAAUUUGAAAUCUGGCGUCUUCGACGUCCGAGUUGUAAUUUGUAGAGGAUGCUUCUGGGCAGCCACCGACCUAAGUUCCUUGGAACAGGACGUCAUAGAGGGUGAGAAUCCCGUAUGCGGUCGGAAAGGCACCCUACACGUAGCUCCUUCGACGAGUCGAGUUGUUUGGGAAUGCAGCUCUAAAUGGGAGGUAAAUUUCUUCUAAAGCUAAAUAUUGGCCAGAGACCGAUAGCGCACAAGUAGAGUGAUCGAAAGAUGAAAAGCACUUUGGAAAGAGAGUUAAAAAGCACGUGAAAUUGUUGAAAGGGAAGGGAUUGCAACCAGACUUGCUCGCGGUGUUCCGCCGGUCUUCUGACCGGUUCACUCGCCGCGUUGCAGGCCAGCAUCGUCUGGUGCCGCUGGAUAAGACUGGAGGAAUGUAGCUCCCUCGGGAGUGUUAUAGCCUCUAGUGAUGCAGCGAGCGCCGGGCGAGGUCCGCGCUUCGGCUAGGAUGCUGGCGUAAUGG